UAAAAUUCCUAAAUGUGCAUAUUGUUGGCCCCAGCCAAAUACGACGAUAGAAGUCGAGAUUGUCGUUCUUGAUUUAAAAAACGACAGAAAAUUUUACAAAUAUAUUGUAUAUAAUCACACUUCUUGUUACAUGAGUACAAACUUAACAGCCUUGAACUUUCAUCAACACAAGAAUCUAUCUUCAAACGAAAUUAACGAGACAGAAUUUACAACAAAAGUAAAAUACAAUCCACCAAACGUGAGAACAUGUAAUGACUAUUGCAAGCAUCCACAACCUCGUUUUCAUCUACACAGUGAAUAUACAAAGGUUGUUUUAUAUUAUCUCUUUAUCCUAUUCACUCAAUGCUUGCCUGGUUGCAAAGCAA